rnacentral:miRNA from 3 species
CCCUUCAUUCCACCGGAAUCUGU